GGGGAUGUAGCUCAGCUGGGAGAGCGCCUGCUUUGCAAGCAGGAAGUCAGGGGUUCGAGUCCCCUCAUCUCCA
rnacentral:tRNA from 2 species